UGAGUAACCUGCCCUGGACUUUGGGAUAACCCUCGGAAACCGGUGCUAAUACUGGAUAUCGACUUCUGCCUCGCAUGGGGUGUUGUUGAAAGUUUUUCGGCUGGGGAUGGGCCCGCGGCCUAUCAGCUUGUUGGUGGGGUGAUGGCCUACCAAGGCGACGACGGGUAGCCGGCCUGAGAGGGCGUCCGGCCACACUGGGACUGAGACACGGCCCAGACUCCUACGGGAGGCAG
rnacentral:rRNA from 1 species